GAUGAACGCUGGCGGCGUGCCUAAUACAUGCAAGUCGAGCGAACAGAUGCUGAGCUUGCUCCUCUGACGUUAGCGGCGGACGGGUGAGUAACACGUGUAUCACCUCCCUAUAAGACUGGUAUCAUUUCGGAACUCCGGCUCUAACCCCGUAUAAUCUAUUGCUCCGCAUGGUUCAUUGGUAAAUUUCGGCUUUUCUGUCUCUACUCGCUGCUUCCGGGCCGCAUUAGAUGGUUGUUACGGUAACGGCUUACCACGGCAAGGAUGCGUAGCCGACCUGAGAGGGUGAUAGGCCACACUGGAGCUGGGACACGGACAAGACGCCUAAGGGAGGCAGCAGUAGGGAAUGGGACGCAAUGGGCGAAAGCAUGACGGAGCAAGGCCGAGUGAGUGAUGAAGGUGUUCGGAGCGUGAAAAUCUGUUAUUAGGGAAGAACAAAUGUGUAAGUAACUAUGCACGUCUUGACGGUACCGAAUCAGAAAGCAACGGCUAACUACGUG
rnacentral:rRNA from 1 species